rnacentral:tRNA from 1 species
UUCGGGAUGGAAGUUGGGCAUCGGGGGGGCCAAGGUCGCGAUCUUCAAACUCACGACGCCUGAUUGUGUGUGGGCGUGGCUCCUCAUAACCUGAAGGUCGUAGGUUCAAAUCCUACUCCCGCAACCA